GAGGGUAUAGCUCAGUGGUAGAGUUCGUGGUUAGCAUGCAAAAGGUCCUGGGUUCAAUCCCCAGUACCUCCA
rnacentral:tRNA from 1 species